rnacentral:tRNA from 1 species
GUCUACGUAGCUCAGUUGGAUAGAGCGGCCCCCUCCUAAGGGGCAGGUCACAGGUUCGACUCCUGUCGUGGACA